rnacentral:rRNA from 1 species
UGGCGGACGGGUGAGUAAUGUCUGGGAAACUGCCCGAUGAGGGGGAGUAACUACUGGAAACGGUAGCUAAUACCGCAUAACGUCGCAAGACCAAAGAGGGGGACCUUAGGGCCUCUUGCCAUCGGAUGUGCCCAGAUGGGAUUAGCUAGUAGGUGGGGUAACGGCUCACCUAGGCGACGAUCCCUAGCUGGUCUGAGAGGAUGACCAGCCACACUGGAACUGAGACACGGUCCAG